UACGGAGGGUGCGAGCGUUAUCCGGAAUUACUGGGUUUAAAGGGUGCAUAGGCGGCGUAGUAAGUCAGGAGUGAAAGUUUGCGGCUCAACCGUAAAAUUGCUUUUGAUACUGCUAUGCUAGAAUUAGGAUGAGGUCAGCGGAAUGUGGCAUGUAGCGGUGAAAUGCAUAGAUAUGCCAUAGAACACCAAUUGCGAAGGCAGCUGGCUAGACCUGGAUUGACGCUGAGGCACGAAAGCGUGGGGAGCGAACAGG
rnacentral:rRNA from 1 species